rnacentral:rRNA from 1 species
UUGAACGCUGGCGGCAUGCUUUACACAUGCAAGUCGAACGGCAGCACGGGGGCAACCCUGGUGGCGAGUGGCGAACGGGUGAGUAAUAUAUCGGAACAUAUCCGGGAGUGGGAGAUAACGUAGCGAAAGUUACGCUAAUACCGCAUAUGCCCCGAGGGGGAAAGGGGGGGAUCGCAAGACCUCUCGCUUUCGGAGUGGCCGAUAUCGGAUUAGCUAGUUGGUGGGGUAAAGGCCCACCAAGGCGACGAUCCGUAGCUGGUCUGAGAGGACGACCAGCCACACUGGAACUGAGACACGGUCCAGACUCCUACGGGAGGCAGCAGUGGGGAAUUUUGGACAAUGGGCGCAAGCCUGAUCCAGCAAUGCCGCGUGCAGGAUGAAGGCCUUCGGGUUGUAAACUGCUUUUGUACGGAACGAAACGGUUCUCUUUAAUAAAGAGGGCUAAUGACGGUACCGUAAGAAUAAGCACCGGCUAACUACGU